UGCAACAUCGACCAUGUCGAAUAAAAUUCUAGAUAGAAUUAUGAUAAUGACAUUGUCUAUCUAUAUGUCUUGACAAAGUCACGUGCCAGCAGUCGCGGUAAUACGUGGUAGACUAGUGUUAUUCAUCUUUAAUAGGUUUAAAGGGUACUUAGACGGUAAAUUAAGCCUACUAAUUUUCUAGAGUUUUAUGCGAGGGGGGGUGUAUUGAAGAGUGGAGAGAUGAAAUUUUGUGAUACCUUCUGGAACAGUCAACGGCGAAAGCAACCCUUUAUGUAAAAACUGACGUUGAAAGACGAAGGCUUGGUAUACCAACAGGAUUAGAUACCCUAGCAGUCCUAGCAGAAAAUGAUGAAUGUCAUAGGUUAGAUUUAAAAUCUUGUCUAUAAAUGAAAGUGUAAGCAUUCCACCUCGAGAGUAAUGUGGCAACGCAGGAAUUGAAAUCAUUAGACCGUUUCUGAAACCAGUAGUGAAGUAUGUUGUUUAAUUAGAUGAUCCACAAAAAACCUUACCACAAUUUGAAUAUUUUACAAGAGUUGCACGGCUGUCUUCAGUUAAUGUCGUGAGAUUUUGGUUAAUUCCAUUAAAUUAACGUAAACCCUUACUUUAUUUUAAAGUAGUUCACCGCUAUAUUGGAUAUGAUAACAGGGAAUAAGACAAGUCAUCAUGGCCUUAAUAUUGUGGGCUAUAGACGUGCCACGCAAUCCUCUACAAAGG
rnacentral:rRNA from 1 species